UAGAGAGGACAAUGAAUGGAGUGAAAGGAAGGUGAGGCAGGGAAAAGUUCCACUUCUGUGACUGUCACCCAUGAGUCCUUCCACGUGGGAGCAGAGGUGUGAAGAGAAUUUACGUGGUUGUGAUGCCAAAAUCACAGAACAGAAUUUCAUAGCCCAGGCUGCCGUGUUGUUUGACUCAGAAGGCCCUUCUACUUCAGUUUUGAACCCACAAAGAAUUAAAAACUGGUAACACCA